GAUGAACGCUGACAGAAUGCUUAACACAUGCAAGUCGAUGGGGAAGUGGUGCUUGCACCAUGGCAACCAUGGCGGACGGGUGAGUAACGCGUAAGGGACUUACCUGCAGGACUGGGAUAACAGGGGGAAACUCCUGACAAGACCGGAUAAUGUCAUGGAGCUGCAUGGCUUUAUGAUGAAAGGAGACGCCUGCGGAGAGCCUUGCGUCCUAUUAGCUAGUUGGUGAGGUAAUGGCUCACCAAGGCGAAGAUAGGUAGCCGGCCUGAGAGGGUGGACGGCCACAAGGGGACUGAGAUACGGCCCUUACUCCUACGGGAGGCAGCAGUGGGGAAUAUUGGACAAUGGGGGCAACCCUGAUCCAGCAAUUCUGUGUGCACGAAGAAGGUUUUCGGAUUGUAAAGUGCUUUCAGCAGGGAAAAAGUAAGUGACGGUACCUGCAGAAGAAGCGACGGCUAAAUACGUG
rnacentral:rRNA from 1 species